rnacentral:rRNA from 1 species
AAUAGAUACCCUGGUAGUCCACGCCGUAAACGAUGAGUGCUAAGUGUUAGAGGGUUUCCGCCCUUUAGUGCUGCAGCAAACGCAUUAAGCACUCCGCCUGGGGAGUACGGCCGCAAGGCUGAAACUCAAAGGAAUUGACGGGGGCCCGCACAAGCGGUGGAGCAUGUGGUUUAAUUCGAAGCAACGCGAAGAACCUUACCAGGUCUUGACAUCCUCUGACACUCCUAGAGAUAGGACGUUCCCCGUUCGGGGGACAGAGUGACAGGUGGUGCAUGGUUGUCGUCAGCUCGUGUCGUGAGAUGUUGGGUUAAGUCCCGCAACGAGCGCAACCCUUGAUCUUAGUUGCCAGCAUUCAGUUGGGCACUCUAAGGUGACUGCCGGUGACAAACCGGAGGAAGGUGGGGAUGACGUCAAAUCAUCAUGCCCCUUAUGACCUGGGCUACACACGUGCUACAAUGGAUGGUACAAAGGGCAGCAAAACCGUGAGGUCGAGCAAAUCCCAUAAAACCAUUCUCAGUUCGGA